AGUGAACGCUGGCGGUAGGCCUAACACAUGCAAGUCGAACGGCAGCACAGUAAGUGCUUGCUCUUAUGGGUGGCGAGUGGCGUACGGGUGAGGUAUACAUCGUAAUCUACUCUUUCGUGGGGGAUAACGUAGGGAAACCUACGCUAAUAUCGCACACGACCUUCGGGUGAAAGCAGGGGAUCUUCGUCCCUUGCGCGAUUGAAUGAGCCGAUGUCGGAUUAGCUAGUUGGCGGGGUAAAGGCCCACCAUGGCGACGAUCCGUAGCAGGUCUGAGAGGAUGAUCAGCCACACUGGAACUGAGACACGGACCAGACUCCUACGGGAGGCAGCAGUGGGGAAUGUUGGACCAUGGGCGCAAGCCUGAUCCAGCCAUACCGCGUGGGUGAAGAAGGCCUUCGGGUUGUAAAGCCCUUUUGUUGGGAAAGAAAAGCAGCAGGUUAAUACCCCGCUGUUCUGACGGUACCCAAAGAAUAAGCACCGGCUAACUUCGUG
rnacentral:rRNA from 1 species